GUCGAACGAUGAACCUGGAGCUUGCUCUAGGGGAUUAGUGGCGAACGGGUGAGUAACACGUGAGUAACCUGCCCUUGACUCUGGGAUAACCUCCGGAAACGGAAGCUAAUACCGGAUAUGACGCACGGAGGCAUCUCCUGUGCGUGGAAAGAACUUCGGUCAAGGAUGGACUCGCGGCCUAUCAGGUAGUUGGUGAGGUAACGGCCCACCAAGCCUACGACGGGUAGCCGGCCUGAGAGGGUGACCGGCCACACUGGGACUGAGACACGGCCCAGACUCCUACGGGAGGCAGCAGUGGGGAAUAUUGCACAAUGGGCGAAAGCCUGAUGCAGCAACGCCGCGUGAGGGACGACGGCCUUCGGGUUGUAAACCUCUUUUAGUAGGGAAGAAGCGAAAGUGACGGUACCUGCAGAAAAAGCACCGGCUAACUACGUGCCAGCAGCCGCGGUAAUACGUAGGGUGCGAGCGUUGUCCGGAAUUAUUGGGCGUAAAGAGCUCGUAGGCGGUCUGUCGCGUCUGCUGUGAAAUCCCGAGGCUCAACCUCGGGCCUGCAGUGGGUACGGGCAGACUAGAGUGCGGUAGGGGAGAAUGGAAUUCCUGGUGUAGCGGUGGAAUGCGCAGAUAUCAGGAGGAACACCGAUGGCGAAGGCAGUUCUCUGGGCCGUAACUGACGCUGAGGAGCGAAAGCGUGGGGAGCGAACAGGAUUAGAUACCCUGGUAGUCCACGCCGUAAACGUUGGGCGCUAGAUGUGGGGACCAUUCCACGGUUUCCGUGUCGCAGCUAACGCAUUAAGCGCCCCGCCUGGGGAGUACGGCCGCAAGGCUAAAACUCAA
rnacentral:rRNA from 1 species